UACGUAGGGGGCAAGCGUUGUCCGGAUUUAUUGGGCGUAAAGAGCUCGUAGGCGGCUCAGUAAGUCAGGUGUGAAACCUCCAGGCUCAACCUGGAGACGCCACCUGAUACUGCUGUGGCUUGAGUCCGGUAGGGGAGCGUGGAAUUCCUGGUGUAGCGGUGAAAUGCGCAGAUAUCAGGAGGAACACCGGUGGCGAAGGCGGGUCUCUGGGCCGAUACUGACGCUGAGGAGCGAAAGCGUGGGGAGCGAACAGG
rnacentral:rRNA from 1 species